rnacentral:rRNA from 1 species
UGGGAUUGCCUUAGUAACGGCGAGUGAAGCGGCAAUAGCUCAAAUUUGAAAGCUGGCCCCUUUGGGGUCCGCGUUGUAAUUUGUAGAGGAUGAUUCGGCGAGGGCUCCCGUCUAAGUCCCCUGGAACGGGGCGUCAUAGAGGGUGAGAAUCCCGUAUGUGAUGGGUUGCCUUAGCCAUGUGAAUCUCCUUCGACGAGUCGAGUUGUUUGGGAAUGCAGCUCUAAAUGGGAGGUAAAUUUCUUCUAAAGCUAAAUACCGGCCAGAGACCGAUAGCGCACAAGUAGAGUGAUCGAAAGAUGAAAAGCACUUUGGAAAGAGAGUUAAAAAGUACGUGAAAUUGUUGAAAGGGAAGCGCUUGCAGUCAGACUUGUCCGCAGUUGCUCAGCCGGUCUCUUGACCGGCGUACUCUUCUGCGGCCAGGCCAGCAUCAGUUCGGGCGGUCGGAUAAAGACCUCGGGAAUGUAGCUCCUCUCGGGGAGUGUUAUAGCCCGGGGUGGAAUGCGGCCAGCCUGGACUGAGGAUCUCGCUUCGGCUAGGAUGCUGGCGUAAUGGCUGUAAGCGGCCCGUCUUGAAACACGGACCAAGGAGUCUAACAUCUAUGCGAGUGUUUGGGUGUCAAACCCAUACGCGUAAUGAAAGUGAACGGAGGUGGGAACCCUCACGGGUGCACCAUCGACCGAUCCUGAUGUCUUCGGAUGGAUUUGAGUAAGAGCAUAGCUGUUGGGACCCGAAAGAUGGUGAACUAUGCCUGAAUAGGGUGAAGCCAGAGGAAACUCUGGUGGAGGCUCGCAGCGGUUCUGACGUGCAAAUCGAUCGUCAAAUUUGGGUAUAGGGGCGAAAGACUAAUCGAACCAUCUAG